GUGGGGAAUAUUGGACAAUGGGCGCAAGCCUGAUCCAGCAAUGCCGCGUGAGUGAUGAAGGCCUUAGGGUUGUAAAGCUCUUUUACCCGUGAUGAUAAUGACAGUAGCGGGAGAAUAAGCCCCGGCUAACUCCGUGCCAGCAGCCGCGGUAAUACGGAGGGGGCUAGCGUUGUUCGGAAUUACUGGGCGUAAAGCGCACGUAGGCGGCUUUGUAAGUUAGAGGUGAAAGCCUGGAGCUCAACUCCAGAAUUGCCUUUAAGACUGCAUCGCUUGAAUCCAGGAGAGGUGAGUGGAAUUCCGAGUGUAGAGGUGAAAUUCGUAGAUAUUCGGAAGAACACCAGUGGCGAAGGCGGCUCACUGGACUGGUAUUGACGCUGAGGUGCGAAAGCGUGGGGAGCAA
rnacentral:rRNA from 1 species